rnacentral:rRNA from 1 species
CUACACGACGCUCUUCCGAUCUCGGAUGCCUUGGCGUCAAGAGGCGAUGAAGGACGUGGCACGCUGCGAAAAGCCAUGGGGAGCCGCGAGCAGGCUUUGAUCCAUGGAUAUCCGAAUGGGGAAACCCGGCUCUUAUGAGUCAUCCCUGACUGAAUACAUAGGUCAGGGAAGCAAACCCGGCGAAUUGAAACAUCUCAGUAGCCGGAGGAAAGGACAUCAACCGAGACUCUGUUAGUAGCGGCGAGCGAACGCGGACCAGGCCAGUGGCGCUUGGAUUUAAACCGGAACCGUCUGGAAAGUCGGGCCAUAGCGGGUGAUAGCCCCGUACGGGUAAAAAAUCCUUGCGUCCUCGAGUAGGGCGGAACACGUGAAAUUCUGUCUGAACAUGGGGGGACCACCCUCCAAGCCUAAGUACUCCUUGACGACCGAUAGCGCACAAGUACCGUGAGGGAAAGGUGAAAAGUACCCCUAGCGGGGAGUGAAACAGACCUGAAACCGAACGCCUACAAGCAGUGGGAGCCCGUAAGGGUGACCGCGUACCUUUUGUAUAAUGGGCCAGCGAGUUAGUCUCUCGAGCAAGCUUAAGCCGUUAGGCGUAGGCGGAGCGAAAGCGAGUCUGAAUAGGGCGACAGAGUUCGAGGGAUUAGACCCGAAGCCGAGCGAUCUAGCCAUGGGCAGGUUGAAGGUGCAGUGACAUGCACUGGAGGACCGAACCCACCUCUGUUGAAAAAGGGGGGGAUGACCUGUGGUUAGGGGUGAAAGGCCAAUCAAGCUCGGCGAUAGCUGGUUCUCCGCGAAAGCUAUUUAGGUAGCGCGUCAUGUAUUGCCAUCGGGGGUAGAGCACUGGAUAGGCUAGGGGGCCGCGAGGCUUACCAAACUUAACCAAACUCCGAAUACCGAUGAGUAUGAGCAUGGCAGACAGACUACGGGUGCUAAGGUCCGUAGUCGAGAGGGAAACAGCCCUGACCUUCAGCUAAGGCCCCUAAAUCACGACUAAGUGGGAAAGGAUGUGGGACAGCCAAGACAGCCAGGAGGUUGGCUUAGAAGCAGCCAUCCUUUAAAAAGCGUAACAGCUCACUGGUCUAAUUAAGCCGUCCCGCGCCGAAGAUGUACCGGGGCUCAAGUCGUGUGCCGAAGCUAAGGAUUUACUCUAUGAGUAAGUGGUAGCGGAGCGUUCCGUUCAGCGCUGAAGGGAUACCCGUGAGGGAUCCUGGAGCGGACGGAAGUGAGAAUGCUGGCAUGAGUAGCGAUAAAGAGUGUGAGAAACACUCUCGCCGAAAGUCCAAGGGUUCCUCGGCAAGGUUAAUCCUCCGAGGGUGAGCCGGCUCCUAAGGCGAGGCCGAAAGGCGUAGUCGAUGGGAAUGAGGUUAAUAUUCCUCAGCCUGCUGGAAGUGACGGAUACCGGAAGCUGUAUGCUCUUAUUGGAUUGAGCAUGCGGCCUGGGUGUCCCAGGAAAUAGCUCCAGCGUAAGACCGUACCCCAAACCGACACAGGUGGACAGGCAGAGUAUGCUAAGGCGCUUGAGAGAACGGCGUUGAAGGAACUCGGCAAAUUACCCUCGUAACUUCGGGAGAAGAGGGCCCCGUUCGUAGGCAACUAUGGGCGGGGGGCACAGACUAGGGGGUGGCGACUGUUUACUAAAAACACAGGACUCUGCGAAGUCUUUAAGACGACGUAUAGGGUCUGACGCCUGCCCGGUGCCGGAAGGUUAAGAGGAGAGGUGAGAGCCUUGAAUUGAAGCCCCGGUAAACGGCGGCCGUAACAAUAACGGUCCUAAGGUAGCGAAAUUCCUUGUCGGGU